ACAUCUCUAUAUAAUGAAUAGUGUGACGAAGCAUUCCACUCUGGUCUCGAGUCGGCAGAAGUGAUUAGGGGUAGGAGAAAAGGAAGAUGCCUUGGAAAAUCCGGAGGAAAUGGGAGGUUUGGUAAGAAAAGCAGCUCAACUAAACUACAGAGUGCGAAUCUUUUCUUGGUUUUUAUUCGGCUUUUCUUUCCCAGUCCUCCCAUUCCUAUGGGUUUCUAGAGUUUCUUCCUUUCCUUUUUCUACUCUUACUACAACCCAUCACUUGUUCAUAAAAUUCUGUGCAGAAAAUUAAGGAAAAGAAAAAAAGAGAGAGAGCAGUGGAUGAUCAUGCAUAUUUGUAUAGCAAGGCAAGAGGAGGAAUGAGGGGGAAAGGGAGCUUAAUCUGCAGGAAAUUAGUGGGAUGGGUGACCGGGGAAGAUUUGAGGUAAAUCUUUGGUCAUUUUUUGUUUUUGAGGGACCAAAUCUUGGUCUUCCCUAGUCCUCCCAUCCCGGUGAUUUCCUGUGGAUUCUCCUCUUCCACAACUUAUUCUACAGGCCCAGAUCUCUCGGUCUCGGAUUCAGAACUUUAAGUAAUUGCUUACUAAGUCAUGAGCCGAAAAGGGCUGUGGAGGCUUGGAUCUUGGGGAUGCUCAUUCUAAAAUCUGGAAAUGGCUUCACCAUGCAACCAAACAUGUGACUUGCCACCACGAGUAUACGGCUAAUAAUGAAAAUUCUGCAUCGCAGAACAUUGGAAUCUCCUAGCUCAUUAGACAUGAAACAGAUGAGUUAGAUACCAUAGCACCAACUGAAGAAAUUAUUUAAAACAAAAAACCAAUAAUAUGUCCUAUCUUUUAUGUCCAAAAAAUUUUAGAAGGGCACUGUUCCACAAUUGAUUUAUGAUAUCCUGUACCAGCCUACCAGGGACUAAUGGCUCCUCCUCUGCAUGAUUGAGGAAGUUGCAACUUUUACAUUCUGCAGAUUCUAUAUUUGAAUUCUCAUCAGAUCAAAGGUGCACUACAAGGAUUCGCAUAAA